GUUUUUACGGAUCUGGAUCUUAAUUUUUUGGACCCGACGGAUCUGGAUCUCAGUUUUGAAAACGGAUCUGGAUCUGGAUCUUGAAAUUUUAGAUUCGGAUCCGGCCCAGAUCCGACCCGUGGAUCCGUUUUAUUUUAUAUAUAUUUUUUAUAUUUUAUAUUUAGUUUACUAAUAAUAUUAACUAAAUUAAAAAUAAUAAAUAAAUUAUAUUCAAAAGAAUAAAAACUAAAAGUAAUUAGAUAAAAGUAUUUUGUGUUAUAUUUUUCAUGAUGGAAAUUAGAUGUUGUUG
rnacentral:lncRNA from 1 species